ensembl:lncRNA
GAGGAAGAGGAGGAGGAGGGGGAGGAGGAGGGGGAGGAGGAGAAGGUGGGGGAGUAGGAGGAAGGAAGAGAAAAAGGAAAAACAGAAAACAGGAAGAAUAAGAAAGCAUCGCAGAAGCUGAAACCACAGCAUUCUUCCACACAGAGCUGUCGUAUGUUCAGACUGUCCCCCUUCUCUGUGAGAAAUCAUUUUCCAUUUAUGGACUUUGUGUGCCGAUAUCCCACAAUGCACAGCGGUGCAGUGUUGUAAAAGGCAGUUUAUUUAUUGCUAUUUGAUCAAUGCCGAAAGAGACUUCUGGUGAUAGGAAAUGGUGAAAGAUGUUCUCUAUUCUCAGCCCAAUCAGGAAGUGGAACGGCCGAAGUGUACAUGCUGAUUGGUCACUUGGUGCUGAGCCACCAAAAAAGGCCAGCAUUUCUUUGAGGAAGUGAAACAAGUGGGACAUCAUGAUCAGCAGUCCAUCCUAGCAACACGGUUGCUGUGAACGAUCGCUGAACCAACUCUGUACAAUCCUGUAUCUAUAACUCUGCCCUGCUGAACAAUCUCAUGGUCAUUGACCUGAGGUGCUGUCUGCAGUGCUCUCACACACAGCGUGUUCAAACAGGAACUUCAUUCUGCCGGUGAAGCAGAAACUGCGGCAUUUUGCAGUGUGGCGGGUCAUCCUCUUCGACAGACAGACACUGUCUGGCGUGAAGGCAAGGCAGCUUUGUCUGGGUGUAAUCAGCCGCUGCUGAGGAAUCUCCUCGGAACAGACGCUUACAUUUGUCAGGAGAAAGAGAAACAACAGAGGACAGGAGCCCUAUAAGGACUCUUUCCUGAAGCCCCCGUCCAGAUCUGUGAUGAUGUCACUGGACUUCCGGACAGCGUUCCAUCUUUGGUCCGACGUGGGGCCGUUUCGUCUCCGUCGGUUCUUCCGACGGUUCGGUCAAGAAUGAUCAAUUGAUUUAGACCAAUGAUGUGCAUUUAAAGCUAGCACUAGAUCGGCUCGAUCUAGUCUAGGAAUCCUCUCUGUAUGAAUUAUAUUUAGAUUUGAUAUUCUAUAUCGACACAAACAUUGCCCUGGGAGCCCCUCUCUCUCUCUCUCUCUCUCUCUCUCUCUCUCUCUCUCUCUCUCUCUCUCUCUCUCUCUCUC